GAAUUCGCCCUUCGAACGAUCUCUUCGGAGAUAGUGGCGCGCGGGUGGUAACGCGUGGGAAUCUGCCCUUGGGUUCGGAAUAACGUCGGGAAACUGACGCUAAUACCGGAUGAUGACGUAAGUCCAAAGAUUUAUCGCCCAGGGAUGAGCCCGCGUAGGAUUAGCUAGUUGGUUGGGUAAAGGCUGACCAAGGCGACGAUCCUUAGCUGGUCUGAGAGGAUGAUCAGCCACACUGGGACUGAGACACGGCCCAGACUCCUACGGGAGGCAGCAGUAGGGAAUAUUGGACAAUGGGGGCAACCCUGAUCCAGCAAUGCCGCGUGAGUGAUGAAGGCCUUAGGGUUGUAAAGCUCUUUUACCCGGGAUGAUAAUGACAGUACCGGGAGAAUAAGCCCCGGCUAACUCCGUGCCAGCAGCCGCGGUAAUACGGAGGGGGCUAGCGUUGUUCGGAAUUACUGGGCGUAAAGCGCACGUAGGCGGCGAUUUAAGUCAGAGGUGAAAGCCCGGGGCUCAACCCCGGAAUAGCCUUUGAGACUGGAUUGCUUGAACAUCGGAGAGGUGAGUGGAAUUCCGAGUGUAGAGGUGAAAUUCGUAGAUAUUCGGAAGAACACCAGUGGCGAAGGCGGCUCACUGGACGAUUGUUGAAAGGGCGAAUUC
rnacentral:rRNA from 1 species